CGGGGUGUGGCUCAGCUUGGUAGAGCGCAUGGUUCGGGACCAUGAGGCCGCAGGUUCAAUUCCUGUCACUCCGACCA
rnacentral:tRNA from 1 species